UGGCGGACGGGUGAGUAACGCGUGGGUAACCUGCCUUUCAGAGGGGGAUAACGUUCUGAAAAGAAACGCUAAUACCGCAUAACAUCAAUUUAUCGCAUGAUAGGUUGAUCAAAGGAGCAAUCCGCUGGAAGAUGGACUCGCGUCCGAUUAGCCAGUUGGCGGGGUAACGGCCCACCAAAGCGACGAUCGGUAGCCGGACUGAGAGGUUGAACGGCCACAUUGGGACUGAGACACGGCCCAGACUCCUACGGGAGGCAGCAUG
rnacentral:rRNA from 1 species